UACGUAGGGUGCAAGCGUUGUCCGGAUUUAUUGGGCGUAAAGAGCUCGUAGGCGGUUCGGUAAGUCGGAUGUGAAAACUCAGGGCUCAACCCGGAGACGCCAUCCGAUACUGCUGUGACUUGAGUCUGGUAGGGGAACACGGAAUACCUGGUGUAGCGGUGAAAUGCGCAGAUAUCAGGUGGAACACCGAUGGCGAAGGCAGUGUUCUGGGCCAGUACUGACGCUGAGGAGCGAAAGCGUGGGGAGCAAACAGG
rnacentral:rRNA from 1 species